GCCAGGCACAGUGGCUUAUGCCUGUAGUCCCAGCUACUCAGGAGGCCGAGGCGGGAGGAUUGCUGGAACCCAGGAGUUCGAGGCUGCAGUGAGUUAUGAUUGCAUCACUGCACUGCAGCCUGGGUAACAGAGCAGGAUCCUGUCUCUU
ensembl:misc_RNA Metazoa_SRP Metazoan signal recognition particle RNA